AUUUGGUCUUUUAAAACAAUUUCAAUCCUCCUUAUCAAUUCACUUGUACACAAAAAAAUGUAGGUCCCGAAACCUCAUAUCCCAAACACCGUGCACAAUAAUCACUUCGCACUAAAAUUCGACAGUUAUGGAAGGGGGCCUCCGGGUUCGAGUUCUGGAAUGGGUGUUCGGAGUGGUUGAGGCGGAGGCACUUGUGCGACCUCAAGAGUGAAGGCCAAACAAAGGUCUCCUCGCAGACAUGGCAGUGAAGAUUCUCGGAAUUUUUGUGCUGUGAUUCAAUAUGGCGAUUCAAGCAGUAGUUUGUUGAGUAAUACUUACCGCAUAUCUGAAAUUUAAUGAACAAAUUCUUUAACGGACGUUUUUUAGAAAUGUGAUUUUGCACUAGACAAUUGGCUCGAUUUGAUUUAUUUAAAUGAAUCGUUAAUUGUAUGUUAAUCAACAGUUUAGUAUUGUAUUAACUUAAUAUGACUAACUAUUGGUAAUCCUGAAAUGAUAACAAUAGGCAGAAAACAAAAAAUUAAGUAAAACUAGCAUCAUCGUCGUCAUCAGCCCACAGAUGUAGACGACAUAGGCAUCCAUCAAGGUUCAUCACAAUGACUUGCACAGCUCAUAUUCAGCAGAUUCUCUCGCCCUUUACUAAGUCGUCACACACAGCAGUUGGAUUUCAAAUGCCUUAAAAAAAGGCACGACUGAAUCUCCAAUUGUGAAAACACAUAGAUCAGCUUAUUAAGCUACAAAUGCUUUUAAAAUUUAAUAAUAAUUGUAAUAACUUUGCACAUUCGCUGAUGCUCGCAUUCGCAAUAACUUAUUUGUAUUUUUAGCUUUUAAGAAGUGAAGAAAGCGACGAAAUAUCUUUUUUUUUUAUAACCGGGUGAGCUGUGAAAUCGUCCAAACUUCCAAGCAAAAAAAAAACUAUGCUAAAAAGGGUGGCAACCUUUCUAUAGAAUAUUAAAAAGCGACUACAAGUUUUACUGGUGGUAGGACAUGUUGUGAGCACCCACAGAUAAGCUAGAACCUUAUUACCUAUACCACCACUUGCCUAUUUCUGAUGUGAAGCAGUUAUCCUCUUUGAAGGGUCAAAAAGGGGGCUCAAAACACAUGUCUCAAGGCAGAUUGCGUCCUUUAGUUGUUGACGUCUAUGGGCUCCAGUAAUAAAUGAAAAAUUAAAAAGCAA